CAGUCAAUGCUAUGUUCAUACUCUAAUAGUAACUUAGGAGAAUCGGUUUCAAGGCAAAGGUUUUGGCAUAUUUUACUUUGGCCAACCAAUGCCUGUUCAAAAAGCCAUUAAAAAAGUUAGUGAGUGAAACCACAUUUGCACACAGUUACUCGAGAUUCUCGAUUAUUCUAUUUCCUGAUGUUAGCAAUGUCCAGCGGUCAAAUAGGAUCAUUUGCUUCUCGAGACCUUUUACCGUAUUUCAUCACGUGGGAGUUAGAAUUCAUUCCCAUUCAUUUACUUCUAUCUGGGAUUUUGUACACAGUAAAAACCAAACAACAACUAAUAAGUGUAUUUUUGUAAUUUUUAGUAUAAUUGUGUUGGUUCGGGUGUAGCACCCCUAAAUCUAGACCCUACCCAAACCCGUCGCAUUAGGGUCAGGUAAGUGAGUACGCAUGUGUGAGUAUGUUUGUUUUAGAAUUGAGAAGAGUGAUUCCAUGACACGGUCAAGAUAUGAUAAACUUAAAAUUAACCCUGUAAGAGUACUUCAAAUCAUGGCGAUAAAGUUAUUUUUGGAAAACAUUUAUGAAGAAAUCAAGGCAAGGCCCCCCCCCCCCCCCCCCCCCCAACAUACACUGCCGCAUCUAUGAAUGUGAAAUAAAACGUUAAUAACAAUGGAUGACAUAUUUACAUGAUAUAGUAUGUAUCGCUCAAUCGCUUUAUAUAACAACAAUGGGGCAACUUCGAGAUUAAAACAAGACCACUCCGUCCAGAUCCCUCACAACUUCGAGAUUGACUCCGUCGUACUCAAGAAAAUCAGUUGGGAUGACUGAAACUAAGCACACGUGACUGAAUUAGCAAGCUUUUUUUUUUUGUUUGUAUUUUGAACCCGUAAUUCGGCUAUUGCAUUUUGAUCGAACACGAGCCAAUAAAAAAGUUGUCAAGGAAGGUAAAGACUAAUAUCCUCACUAACCCCUUCUCACUUAAAGAUCACGACUCAUCUUUUCACUUUUUUCUGGUUAAAAAUUUGAAGAAUGUUCCAACAUCAUAUUCUCAAAGUCACUUCAUUUUCUUUGAAUGGAAAGAUGUGAAAAUGAAACUGAAAAAUGAAAAGUAUGAGAAUGAAAUAAAACAGACGAAACAAUUGUGAUUUGAAAAUAUUUCAACAAGUGCAUCUAGAGAAUGUAAAAAAAGAAUCUGACAAAAGACCAUAGCAAGAAUUUUAAAGGGGAAAGAAACAAAGAAAAAAAUCUAAGAUGUGUUUCUUUAAUUUUUUUCAUGUUGUGUGCUUAUAUUGUGAUGGAAAAAAGAAUCUAAGGUAAGAAAUUGCGAUAAACUAAGAAAAGGAUUCAAGCAUUUGUUUAGCUUGUUGGGCAAAAUUUGGGGGGUAAUAAGUCUCCAGUUUUGGACCAGCCUGUAAGUGCCUCUUCUUGAUAUUCUCUUGUUUUCAAAAACAUUUUAAUUCUCUCCUCGCCACCUCUGGCCAUACCAUAGCCACCAGCUCCCGUCCAGUACUGGGGACCAAAGUGUAAAACUGAUAAGAGUUACUAUUUUAGAUUCUCAAUUCUGAAAGGCUUCAAAUUUUUUAUAAGAAUUAAAAAUACUCGCGAAAGAAAACUAAAAAGAAAAAAAAGCAAAAGUAAAAUGUCCAUUAAUAAGCCACAAUGCUCAAAAUAUAUUUAAACAUAGUUUUUGAACCAACAUUCUUGAACCAGUUUUCUUUACCUCUAAACAGGUUUGAUGUAAAUCUUUGUAUCAAAUAAUAGCCCUCAAGCAGAAGUUGACGAAGAACAUUAAGGUAGUGUUUGGAUUAAGCAUUUAGCAAAAAAAGUAAAAAAAAGGAAACGAAAAGAUUUAUGAAUCCAAUUGUUUAAAUGUAACCUUUUUUCUUUGCUAUUCUUUUACCUCCAUGAAUCCCUCAAAUCCUUCAUUCAAAUGCAGUGCUUAAUAACGAUAAAUAUUAAGUAUUGAACCGCCCCUAUUAAGCAUGACACAAAAAAAAUGGAUGGUGAGCCUACAACGUGCAAAAUUUUAUAAAAAAUACUAUUUCAUCAAGGCUACACUUGGAUUGAGAAUUUAAAGAGAAAUUUAUAGAAGAAAAAGAUACGCAACGGAAAGAAUAAAUUUGAGUUAUUGAAUCCAUCAGUCUUUUUCUCUCAUUUUUCUUUCCCUCUAAACCUUUAAUCCAAACACAGCGUAAAGAACUGCAUGAAAACUUUUGGGUAGAGAGUUGGCCAGUCCGAGUUUUUUACCAAAACCAACUAGUUUUGUAACAAAUUUAUUAGACCAAUGCAACUGGAACCAUGCACUUUUAAUCAAAAUUUAUUUACCAAACUCAUGCAUUUUUUAAAGUCAUAGAACAAAAACAAGACUUUAAUUUUUGUUUAUCAUAUGAUGUUGAGGGAUGAAAAUACGACUUGAUGUAAAAGUAUGGGAUGAAAAUAUGACUUCGCGUAAAAGUGUGGGAUGAAAUCACAACUUUAGUAGUAAAUCUACUCUAAAGUCGUGUCUUCAUUCCACGACUUUAAACAGUGCACGAAUUUAAUAAAUAGGUUCUAAAAUCACUGGGCCAAAUAAGUAUGAUUUCAAACCACAUGGGUUUUGUAAAAAACUCCCCCUUGAUGCAUCCCUACGGCACAAUUGUGGUAGAGUCCAUUGACUUUGACCAACAAAAUGAAGUCAAAAAUAGCAAGAUAUUUCCACAAUGAUGCCCCAAAUGUACUCAUAUAUUACAUUUUCUGAUCUUGUUUUGUCAGUCAAAGCUCUGUUCAAUACUCUUAUAGUAACUUACCAGAAUCGGUUUCAAGGCAAAGGUUUUGGCAUAUUUUACUUUGGCCAACCAAUACCUGUUCAAAAAGCCAUUAAAAAAGUUAGUGAGCGAAACCACAUUUGCACACAGUUACUCGAGAUUCUUAAUUUUCCUUAUGCUAGCAAUGUCCAGCUGUCAAAGAGGAUCAUUUGCUUCUCGAGACCUUUUACUGUUUUUCAUCAUGUGGGAGUUAGAAUUAAUUCUCUUUUAUUUACUUCUAUCCAUGUGGGGGAAAGAAACGUCUAUACUCUGCUACAAAAUUUAUUUUGCACGCAGUAAAACCAUACAACAAUUAAUAAGUGUAUUUUUGUAAUUUUCAAUAUAAUCGUGUUGGGUUCGGGUGUAGAACCCCUAAACCUAGAACAAAGAUUUUG
rnacentral:lncRNA from 1 species